rnacentral:misc_RNA from 1 species
UACGUAGGGGGCAAGCGUUGUCCGGAAUUAUUGGGCGUAAAGCGCGCGCAGGCGGCCAUGUAAGUCUGGUGUAUACUCCCGGGGCUCAACCCCGGAUCGCACUGGAAACUGUGUGGCUUGAGUGCAGAAGAGGCGAGCGGAAUUCCACGUGUAGCGGUGAAAUGCGUAGAGAUGUGGAGGAACACCAGUGGAGAAGGCGGCUCUCUGGUCUUUACCUGACGCUGAGGCGCGAAAGCGUGGGGAGCAAACAGG